CUUCACCACCACCACCUUUGCCCCCUGUGCAGGGAGGACGACCCACAGUGCAGGCCACCCAGGCUACCCCACCAUCAACUUCUUCCUCUGCACAACCGGGGAUCUCCCCCACAUUUUGUUUGCCGGGUGAGGAGGGCUCUUGCCCUCUCGAUUUCCUCCCCAAGACGGGGCAACCCCCCCUCAGACAGGGCUGGACUGCCUGGGGGCUCUCCCCCUUCUCCCUGCCUGAAGGGGCACUCCCCACGAUCACCUCUCCCCCCCGGGGAGAUGCUCCUCAUCCCCCAAGGGAAGGUUCUUCGCCCUCCUCCACAGCUCCCUGUGCAGGAGCCUCUGCCCCGGGCCCCUUCUCCACCUCACUGCCCUCGGCCAGCAGGCGCUUCCCUCCCUUUCCCCUGAGAGAAGGGCUCCGACCCCGGCCCUCCGCUGCGAGGCGGGGCCCCUCUACUGCCAGAAGCCCCUGGAGAAGGGGGGGGCUCUUCCCUUCUCUCCCCCCGCCCAGGCGACUGCGGCCGGCACUGACCCGUCUCUGCCGUCCUGCUCCUCUCCGCCAUAUUUGUUGUCAUCCCCCCCCUUCUCACUCACCCCCCCCAACACGGCGCGAGACGCUGCCUGGCCGUCGCCAUGGCAACAUACGUCACCGCCAGGGGAGUCCCGUGCCCACCCCCCUCCCUCUCCCCCUCCCUCCCCGCCUGCCCACAGGCCGCCAUGGCGGCGCGGCCAGCGGGGGCGGCGGGAGCGGACGGACGGUGCCCGGGCAGCCCAGUGGGGAGCUUCAUUAUGUGUGUGAGUGUUGCCCGUCUGUCUCCUUCUCCCAGCCCUAGCAGCCCGCAAGCCUGUGUGGUGACUAAAGAACAUGAGAAAGCAUAAUACCACAAGAGCAAAGACUGAAAGGAAAAAAAGAUUUCUGAUUGCUUUUUUUUUAAAAAAACAUGAAUAUAAUUCAAAAAAGUUGAAGACAGAGUGAUUUGCAUUACGCAUUCAAUACUUUCGAUUCAACUAGAGGUGGCUGCUGUCAAUACGUAUCUGUUGAAACCCCAAAGAUAUUCCAAGAAAAUCAAUAAAAAUCCAAUUUUAAAAUCCUGAUAUUUUCA
rnacentral:lncRNA from 1 species